CGCGUAGGCGGUUGGGUGAGUCGGAUGUGAAAGCCCCGGGCUUAACCUGGGAACUGCAUUCGAUACUGCCUGACUAGAGUUCGGUAGAGGGGAGUGGAAUUCCACAUGUAGCGGUGAAAUGCGUAGAUAUGUGGAGGAACACCAGUGGCGAAGGCGACUCCCUGGACCGAAACUGACGCUGAGGUGCGAAAGCGUGGGUAGCAAACA
rnacentral:rRNA from 1 species